CCAACAUAGGUCAUCUCUAGCGUCGUCAUCUUCUCCUCUUUCUAUGUUCCACCAUCAUUACCUCCGACCACUAUACACAGAUACAUUCGCAUGAAACGAAGAACAAAGUGAAUUAGGGCUGGUGGACUGAUUCGAUCAAGAGUUUUUGCUUCUUUCAAUCAUUUAGAGGAAGGAAUCUUCAGAUAUCAGAGCUCAGGUCAGGCACUAUCUGAGUGGAGCGGAGACAAAAGUGAAUUCUCGAAUCAAGUCCGAAAGGUAUUUAGAAGAUGUGAAAGCUCCUAAGCAAGCUUUCCCUUCACACGUUUCUGUCAUGGUUUUAGAGGUGCUGAUCAGGCAUUCAAAAGAUCAAGGUCAUUUGCCUGUUAAAUUUACUCAGUUCAGACUUGAUCUUCUCAAGAAUGUUGAGAGCAAUGCUGAGGUCAAAGUUUUGGAUGUUGAUGCCCUUUUCAUAUCACACACCCAAGUGAACCAAGCAGCAAAACAUAGGUGGAGGACCUAUCGUGUCCUGUAAGAAUCCAUAGUAUGUUCUUCAUGAUGCUACUCUUUUUUCAACUUUUGUUUCAGUCACAAUGUGCUGACUCUCUCUUUAUUUUGCUGCUUACAUAUCAAACACAUGCCACAUUGAGUUGAUUUUGUCAAAGAAGGAAGAGCCUGUGAAGAAAUAGCGAAGCCAAAGAAAGGAGCUUCUUCCUGAGCUUUCGUGAUCGUUUGUGUUACAACGCUUGAUACACUUUGUUUACCUUUUUUUCACUUUGUUUACUUCUCUUUCAUUUAGACAAGUAACCGUAAUUGUAAAGAUAUAAUGAUGAUUGGUUUCUGGAUUACUCAAGCUUUAAACU